ACUCUCAGCAACGGAUAUCUCGGCUCUUGUAACGAUGAAGAACGCAGCGAAAUGCGAUACAUGAUGUGAAUUGCAGAAUUCCGUGAAUCAUCGAAUCUUUGAACGCAACUUGCGCCCGAGGCUUUUGCCAAGGGCAUGUCUGCUUGAGCGUCU
rnacentral:rRNA from 2 species